rnacentral:lncRNA from 1 species
CAGUAGGAGCCUGGAGUUGGCGGGUGGGAUGAAUCUGCCAAGCACAAUUGUUCUCUGAGUGGAACCAAAGAAGUGAGGAGCUAGGCCGCCCUGGCCUGGCACCUAGGAACACAGGAGCAGGUGGGUAUAGAAGUCAUCGGCUGUGAGCUGCAGGCCCUGGGCAGUGGACGGAGCCCAUGCCGUGCUUUGCGCCAGGGCUACUGUGAAUGGUGGAAGCAGGAGGGAGAGCCACCUGGUACUUUCGUCCCUGCCUCCUCCUCCGUUCCGGAUCUCUCCCCUCUGUCCAGGGGUGUGUGACGUUUCUCCUGCAUGUUUUUACUGAUGUUCGUGCUGGCUGCCC